CUGACAGAAUCCAAAGACUUGGCAAGAUAUGUAUUUCCACUGUGAGAACAGUUUAGGUCGUGUUCAGGAAACUCAAAGCCAGAAGAGGGAGCAACAGGUGGACGGCGGCAGCAAGUGUUUCCCAUCAUCCCCGAUCACAAGGCGCAUUUAAGGCAGAUGUAGAUGGAGUUCCAGACCAAUUCUGUCAGUCUCUACAUACUUGCUGGUAUCCAUCAGUCGUCAUCAUCUGACCUGUCCACCCUGUGCCAUGGACUACUCCACCAGUUCCGGAACUUCACCUCUGCUUUUCACCGGUCACCACAGCCAGACUUGCGCCCUGUGUUUUCCAUUCACACCU